UUUAUAUCAUGCAUAAACAGACUCAUUCCAGGCAGGCAAUAUGAAUAAACAAUAGAAUAAAACAUUAAAAAUUAAAUAACAAUUAAAGAACCUGAAUGCGUAAUACAAUGGUCUUGAACACUCCACCACAAGCCGGUAGGAUUUGUUCUUCGAUUCUUCAAUUAAGCAGUAAAAUAAAUCAAGGAAAUAAAACUCGAAUAUAAC
rnacentral:lncRNA from 1 species